rnacentral:lncRNA from 1 species
UAAAAACUCAUUGGAUGCAUUUAACAGCAGACAGGACGCAGCAGAAGUCUAGCUGGUGAACCAGAAGACAUGUGAAUAGAAAGAACCAUAUUGAACAACAGAUAGAAGAAAGAAUGGACAAAGCAUAAGAGACAUGUAGAAUGUAGACAAAGCAUCUAACAUUCGUGUAAUUGGUAUCCCAGAAAGCAAGAAAGUGAAGAAUGAGAAAGAAGAAAUACAUAUUGUCAAAGUCCUUACCAAUACCAGCAGAAGAUAUAUUACACUUGGGUGUUCACACCCUCGUCAUUACAUUUACUGAUUACGUGCAACAUUGGGCAAAUUCUAUACCUCCUCUGAUCUUCCUUUUUCUUUGCCUGUAAAAUUGAACCAAUAAUAUUAAUUCCUCAGAACUUUCAUAGUAUCAUCCAUAUAUGAUGAAAGUACAUAAGGACAGAAAUUACUUGCAUCUCCACCAAACAAAAAUCUAUCAGCUAACCCCGCCCCAACAGAGCUGCAACUUAGCCCCAUCAAUGGAGAGCCAGUCUAAGGAGCACGCUGAGCGCCUCACUGAAGAGCACCCAGGCCUCGGGGUGCUUGCCAUUGCCAAGUUCUGAGCAAUUCUUCUCCAGCACGCUCUACCCUGGCCUGGGGCAAGUCCUCUCUUGUCCCUCUGCCUAGCCAGGUCCCUGCUCUAUCCAGCCUGUUUGAGACCCUCAUUAGCCCUUCUCUCUUUUAGAAACCUUCCAUCCAAACUGGAUGAACAGCUAUUUCAGCAACUCCCUAUGGCUUCGUCUCUUCGUUCACGGGAUGCCAUGUGGCAGGAACGUGGAGACGCUGAGCAUCAGCCAUGGAUCACGAUGCUCUCUGAAUGGGAAGGUGGCCGAGGGGCUCCAACAGCUCGUCACCAUGAGCCAUUCCAUUAUAGGCACUGUGUUGAAGCCCCAGCCACCGAGACCUGAGAGGUCCUAUUUUACUCUGGGUCAUGGGCAGAGAGGAGAAACAGCUGGAAAGAUAAAGCCAGAACUAGGAAAAUGGCCAUAGAAGACCACGGUGAAACUCAUCAAAUAGAACACUUAAAAUAUGUGUAUUUCAUGUUAUGCUAAUUAUUCUGGAUUAACCUGAAUUUUAAAAAUUAAAUUUGAAAAAGGAAACAAA